rnacentral:misc_RNA from 1 species
CCUUCGGACCAAAAUUGUUGUAUGGCUUGUGUGGGGCGAGGGGCACAACGUGAAUCCGUAAUAGGCCAUGGCGGGUGUCUUUUUAAGCAUCCAAGCCAUACAACAAUUUGGGGUURGGAGGUGGCUUUAUAAAUCGGUGUAUGCUUAUUGUCGGAUGAUAUGGUUGCUUAUCGRUGUAUGGCUUGUGUGGGGCGAGAGGCACAACGUGGAACCGUAAAAGACCUGCAAGGGUUUCCCAAACCACACAAGCCAUACAUCGGUUGUAAGUCGGAUGUCRCUUAUCGAUGUAUGGCUUGUGUGGGGCGAGAGGCACAACGUGGAACCGUAAAAGGAUCUGCAAGGGUUUCCCAAACCACACAAGCCAUACAUCGGUUGUAAGUCGGAUGUCGCUUAUCGAUGUUUGGCUUGUGUGGGGAGAGAAGCACAACGUGGAACCGUAAAAGGAUCUGCAAGGGUUUCCCAAACCACACAAGCCAUACAUCGGUUGUAAGUCGGAUGUCGCUUAUCGAUGUUUGGCUUGUGUGGGGAGAGAAGCACAACGUGGAACCGUAAAAGGAUCUGCAAGGGUUUCCCAAACCACACAAGCCAUACAUCGGUUGUAAGUCGCMAAACMACCACAAUUGUUGUAUGGCUUGGAUGUGUGCGAGAGGCACAACGUGAAUCCGUAAUAGGCCAUGGCGGGUGUCUUUUUAAGCAUCCAAACCAUACAACAAUUAGGGGGGAUUAUUCUAGCGGGUUUCGUUCUCUUCGUSUCGUGC